rnacentral:lncRNA from 1 species
GCCGUUGACAUGUUUAGUGGCAGCAGGGAUAGCUGAGCGUUUUGAUAUAAGAUUUGUGUAGGUGGGCCUGAAAAUAAGGGAGUGGUGGCAGUUUAGAAAUCAUGUCCUGAUUUUUCAGCUUUUGCCAGCUACCACUCUAGCUUUGCCAUUCAUUCCUAUGGGACAAAUUGCGCCACAAAAACGACGAUAUUCCGUGAACCAUUCGGCGAAAUGUUCCACAAAGUAAUAGCAAUCCGAUCGGGAACAAUCUGCACGUUUUGGUAAAUUUUGGUCUAUGUAGUGUAAAAACUGUGGGAGGAGUUAGGGUGGCAAAUUUUGCUAUAAUAAUAAGAAUAAUAA